GACGAACGCUGGCGGCGUGCUUAACACAUGCAAGUCGAACGCUGAAGCUUGGUGCUUGCACUGGGUGGAUGAGUGGCGAACGGGUGAGUAAUACGUGAGUAACCUGCCCUUGACUCUGGGAUAAGCCUGGGAAACUGGGUCUAAUACUGGAUACGACAUGUCACCGCAUGGUGGUGUGUGGAAAGGGUUUUACUGGUUUUGGAUGGGCUCACGGCCUAUCAGCUUGUUGGUGGGGUAAUGGCUCACCAAGGCGACGACGGGUAGCCGGCCUGAGAGGGUGACCGGCCACACUGGGACUGAGACACGGCCCAGACUCCUACGGGAGGCAGCAGUGGGGAAUAUUGCACAAUGGGCGGAAGCCUGAUGCAGCGACGCCGCGUGAGGGAGGACGGCCUUCGGGUUGUAAACCUCUUUCAGCACGGAAGAAGCGAAAGUGACGGUACGUGCAGAAGAAGCGCCGGCUAACUACGUGC
rnacentral:rRNA from 1 species